AAUUUUUGGAUGGCAUAAUCAGGUGGAGGUUAGGAAUAACAUAUGCAAAAUUCGUUAUGCUACGCCCACUGGAAGUACCUGUGGUACUAAACUAUACUAGACCCGGUUUGCUGUGUCAGUGGUGCAAAAUGUAAGAUAUUUUGAGGAAAUUCGUCGUGCUGCGCGUUGCAGUUUUCACGCUAUUGUUGGCGGUUUAGCCAUUAACUUGGAAACGGAUAACACAAAACGUGUAUGCACAUGAGUUGAGGAAUCAAGUUUUGAAAGUCUGUUCACCACUUCACGCAAGACCCAAGCUUGUCGUACUUCACCGUUGAAGCUGAUAUUCCAAAUGAAGUUGAGACUUGUGAACAGAAAUAUAUUUCCCCUAUCAUCCAGGACCAUUCUUACAGCUGCGGUAAGUCUUCAAGGUUUUUUGAAAGAUUGGAAAUAAAAACAGAAGAACUGGAGACUGUCGGGAAAAAGCUGAAAGUCCCCAAGCAAAAGUCAGAGCGACUGUAAAUAAUACUUCAAAACAACAGUGUUAUAAAAUCAAUACAAGAAAAAAAUUUAAUCACCACUAGAAGUAAAGAACUUCUAGGCUGCAGUCCUGCGAUUUUUAAGCGAAUCCUUGAUGGGCCCACCCACAUAAAAAUAGCUUCCUGAAUUGAAAGCAUUUGCCCUUAAUUUUAACUUUUAUUCUGCUAAUUCCUACCUAUUUGUAAGGCAUACAUUUAAUCCAGCUUAUAUCCUCCCAUGUCAAAUUUGGCACUUGAAUUCCGAAAUUUCAGCAGAGCCUGGGUUUACUUAGCUUAGUAUGCCAUAUUCGCUUAUUUCUCCUUUUACACGUACCUAUAAAUUUCAAUUUUGCAUAUUUUUAGUAUGCCAUAUUCGCUUAUUUCUCUUUUUACACGUACCUAUAAAUUUCAAUUUGCAUAUUUUUAGUAUGCCAUCUUUGCUUAUUUCUCUUUUUACACGUCCCUAUGAAUUUCAACUUUGCAUAUUUUUAGUAUGCCAUAUUCGCUUAUUUCUCUUUUUACAUGUCCCCAUGAAAAUUUCAAUUUUGCAUAUUUUUAGUAUGCCAUCUUUGCUUAUUUCUCUUUUUACACGUCCCUAUAAAUUUCAAUUUCGCAUAUUUUUAGUAUGCCAUAUUUGCUUCUUUCUCUUUUUACACGUCCCUAUAAAUUUCUAUUUCAGCUGUUACGCUGCACAACUGGCAGCAUGACAAAAAUAGACCUUUAAACCAAAAAUCAAUCAAGUUCGAUAUCUUACGUAUUACAAAAUUGAAUAUUCUAUUCAAUUCUGUUUUUGCUAGAUUUCACUAUUAAACAGGACCUUAAUUUAGAAUAUUCCGUAUUAUUGAAUUUAAAACAUCGGUCGAAUUUGGCGGUUCAAGAUUCUAUAAUACUCUCCUGAUUGAUUCACUAGGACAGUACUUUAGAUUUAUGGUUUUCAGACUUAAAAUUGUCUACUCUAAGAAAACCCGGUGUAUCUCAAAUAGAACGAGAGCUUGCAAACUUUUUUUAAGUUCUAAUUGCAUUACAAAUUUUACAAAAAAUAAACAAUGCAGAAAU